rnacentral:rRNA from 1 species
UACGAAGGGGGCUAGCGUUGCUCGGAAUUACUGGGCGUAAAGCGUGCGUAGGCGGUUUGUUAAGUCUGUUGUGAAAGCCCCGGGCUCAACCUGGGAAUGGCAAUGGAUACUGGCAAGCUAGAGUGUGAUAGAGGAUGGUGGAAUUCCCGGUGUAGCGGUGAAAUGCGUAGAGAUCGGGAGGAACAUCAGUGGCGAAGGCGGCCAUCUGGAUCAACACUGACGCUGAGGCACGAAAGCGUGGGGAGCAAACAGG